CCCCUGGGGGUCAGGAAGGAACAGGAAGAUUUUUGGGGCAGUAAAACACCGGAUUUGUCUCCUCACACCUGGAGGUGUUGCAGCUUUUUGACCCCUUUGCUGCCCUCAAGAUAAGAAUCGGAGAUGCUCAACAAGUGCCUGCUGAGAUAUUGUCCCAGAAGUAUUCAGUGCACCUCAGCAAGCUGCAAAUGCAGCUCACCUUCAAAUUCUCCUCAGAGAGCAGAGCACAGGCACAAAGGCAGCUCAGGAAGGGCAAAGACAUCCUUGUCAAAAUCCUUGGUGUCAAAAAUAGCUGCCUGAGACGUUCCUCCUCCUGCUGCUUUCAGCUGAAUUAUGAUCAUGACUUGCUGUCCUCGGGUUUUUGCAGCACAGUGUCCUUCCCUCCACAGCAUCUCCCAGCCCUGGGUAGCUGCAGGGCCCAAUCCCUUCCUCUCAUGUCACACAUCACAGGCAGCGAGGCUGCAGAGCUGGGGCUGCCAGAUCAAAGGGCUCCUGAUGGAUGUGGAACCAGUGGCUUCAUUAGUGCCGGCCUUGCAGGCUCCCAAAAGCUCCUUGAGGCAGGGGAGGAGGAGCGUGGGGUCACUGCUGCCGGAGGAAAGGGGACAGGGCUGUUUGGGGUGUGCAGCUGCCCAAUCCCAGCCCCUCUCAAGUGAAUUUGUGCAGCUCCUCCUUGGCUUUAUGUUCAUUUCAGGGCAGAGCUCGUGGUUGCCUUUUCAGCUCCUCCCUCGCUUUCCCUCUUCUGCACCUCCUUGAAUCUGCCCAAACUUGAUCCCGUUUUAUCCUCCCCUUUCUCAACCAAAAGCUGGUUUUGAAGACCCUCAGGUGCUGAAAGCAGAAGUUCUCCUUUUCCUUUGCUCCCUUGCACAGUUCUGCCCCUGACUCUCACAGAGGGUGCCAGGUCAUGCCAUGGGGAGCGACACAGGUUGAGCUCACCUGGAUUAUCCUCCCGUGUGCUCCUGGUGCAUCCUCACCAUUGAUCCCUAGCUCCCAGAGCAGCAUUUUGGAGCCUGAGGAUUUAUUUUGUUCACUAACCAGCCUCACAGACACAGUGCUGCCUUUGUGCCUGCAAAUGCAGGAAUGCUGCAGCUGGGAAUUAAAAGCUUAGAGGGAAGUGGAAUUAUUUGUAAAUAAAUAACUCUUAUAAACCUUGAUGUACA
rnacentral:lncRNA from 1 species